rnacentral:lncRNA from 1 species
AUGGGCUCCCUGCUGGCUUGGCUGUGGUCUGCUGCCUCUAAAGAGGCUCCCAGGACUCUGCUGUCAGCCCCGUCCUCCCUCUGUACCCUCAGGCCCCUUCCGCUCAGGUCAGCUCAGGACCAGCCUCCUCAUCCUCGUCUUGGAAUCUCUAGAGCCUCCAGGUGCUGGGCUCUGACCUCCUCCCAGAUGUCAGAUAGCCACUGGAAACUCCAUCUUCCCAGAUGUCAGAUAGCCACUGGAAACUCCAUGUGUCCCAGUGUGAACUCGGGACUCCUCCCUCCCUCCAGGCCCUCCUGGGCUCCCCACCCCUUCUCUGCAGACAGAAUCACCACCACCCCCUCGCCCAGAAGCCGGGGAUCUUCCCAGGUUCCUCCCUCUCCUUCACUUCCCACACCCAAGCCAUCACCAAGCUCCUGCCAAGGAAUCUCCCAAAUGCCCUCAAGCUUCUCAAGCCCAGCCCCCUUCCUCCCUGGCUCCUAUGACAUCACCCUCCAGGUUUCUUCUGCAAGCCCUGCUCCUGCUCAGCUCUGCCCUCACCAUGGGCUCCCAGACAGCAUCCCCCCAGGACUGUGGCUGCUCCCCAAGGUCCUGGCCCACCUUGCCCACAACUCCCCCACAUCUGCCCUGGCCCCUGCUUUGCAGCUCACUCUUGGCAGGAUGAACUACGUCCCUCUCCCCACGGCCUGCCCCUCAUCGCUCUGGUAUUUAGGGCCAGCCCUCUCAGCUCACUCUUCAAGCCCCUGUUAUCACCUCCACAGGAGACCCCUCCAGCUGAUGGCUGGACCCCCAGCCCAUGUGCCUGGUGCUGGCUCAGGACCUCUCCCGUCCUGUGGCCCUCUCGCAUGGUACCCAAGGUGUGUUCAGCCCUGUCUAGCCUGCCAGAUCAUGUGGCCUCAGGGACAGAGAACGGCGUUUUACUCAUCCUGGCCCCAUCACCUGGCCUGCCCCUCAGUGGAUGCUCUGGAAAUACUUGUUGAACUGAGAGCAACUGUUCUGAAGUUACACUAUGGCAAAUGCCCAAGCAUCUGCCUGGUGCCGUGA